CAGUAAUCUCAAAUUCUAAGCACCAUCUCCCUGAUGUUAAUGGCCUCCCAAAAUUAUUUGAAUGCAAUAUAUGGCCAGAGAAUCAUGGGAUCCAAGCCUAUAGGUCAAACAACAUCUGUAUGGCCGGGGUUUGAGAUGCCAGUUCUACGCUUGUGGAGCCCUUACAGAACAAAUCGUAGAAAUGAAAGUGGAUAUAAGUCAGCCAGCACUCACACAGUGGAAAUAAUUCAAAUGUUUGUGGUUGCAUGUGGUCAUUUCAAAAACAUGUAAACUAAAAUAAUAGCAGUUAAAUUUGCCAGGUUUUCAGAAUAAAGCACAACACUAAUGCUUGCUUAGU